UUCGUUCCUUAAAACGUCAGGAAAGGAGAUUCCACCUGAACAUCAGGAAAAGCUUCCUCACUGUGAGAAGGGCUGUUCGGCAGUGGAACUCUGUCUCUGCCCCGAAGGGAGUGUGGUGGAGGCUCCUUCUUUGGAGGCUUUUAAGCAGAGGCUGGAUGGCCAUCUGUCGGGGGUGCUUUGAAUGCAAUUUCCUGCCUCUUGGCAGGGGGUUGGACUGGAUGGCCCAUGAGGUCUCUUCCAACUCUACUAUUCUAUGAUUGUAUGUUUCUAUGAUUCCUUCCCUCUUUCCUUCUUUCCUCCCUUGCUUGGCUUCUGUCCCAGCUUCUUUCCCACCCACUCUUCCUCGUGUCCCCUCGCAGGCCUUGUUCCCUGAGAAAUGGAGGCCAAGGAGACUUCUCUGGGAAGAAGAACAUGGACCUCUCUGAAGUGUCCCAGACCCUCCAGGAGGUGGCCAAGAAGCUGGACGACUUAGCCAAGGGCCUCUCUUUGGGCCUCACCUGCCAGGACCAGGACCUCUACCUGCGCCGGAAGGUCACCCUGAAGCUUCAGGAGAUUCUCUUCCAGGUGCGUCAUGGUGCUGGGAGCAACUUGGACCUGUCCUGCCUCCUCUGCUGCAUCAAUGGCGUGGUCGAGGCUGCCAUGAGGUGAACCUCUUCCAAGUGGGGAUGAACAUAUGCAUGGGGUCUACCUCCAACUCCGAGGGAUCCCCUCCCACUGCCUCUGGGUCACCAAGCAGCAUCCUCAGAGAAAUAAAGCCCUGUCUUUUUUAAUGCAGCCCCGGCCUCCAUCUGUCUCUUUGGUCUAAAGAACAUAAUGAAACAAAAUUUUCAGAACCAUGUGAGGACCCAGCUCAGAAGCAGAGAUGUGUCCCCGAUUCAGAGAAGAAGCCUAAAUCACAAAAGCGUUGGGUGCUCCAUGUCCCAGGCCAGGGGUCCUCAAACUUUUUAAGUGGAGGGUUCGAUUCACAGUCCCUCAGACUGCUGGGGGGCCAGACUAUGAUGAAAUAGUCCAAAAUUAGGAUUAUUGUUGUAUUCCUUCAAGUCAUUUCAGAGUUAGUUUAGGACAGGGGCCAGGUAAAUGACCUUGGAGGGCCGCAUCUGGCCCAUGGGCCUUAGUUUAGGGACCCCUGAUCUAGACGGUCUCUUAAGACCAUAGGUAAACAAAGAGACCUCCAAAGAUCAUCUAGAUGGUCUCAUAAGACCAUAGUAAGGAAAGGGACCCUCAAUGGCCAGCUGGAUGAUCUCAUAAGGCCAUCAGAAGACCACAGAUAAGGAAAGGGGCCCCCAAAGCCCAUCUAGAUGAUCUCAUCAUCUAGGAAAUGGGCCCCCAAAGGCCAUCUAGAUGGUCUCAUAAGACCAUCGGUAAGGAAAGGGACCCUCAAAGGCCAUCUAGAUGAUCCAAUAAGGCCAUCAGAAGACCAUAGAUAAGAAAAGGGACCCUCAAAGGCUAUCUGGAUAGUUUCAUAAGACCAUAGGUAACAGAAGAGGCCCCCAAAGGCUAUCUAGACCAUCUAAUAAAACCAUAGGUAAGGAAAGGGACCCUCAAAGGCCAUCUAGAUGGUUUCAUGGGACCAUAGGUAAGGAAAAUGACCUCCAAAAGCUAUCUAGAUGGUCUCAUAAGGUCAUAGCUAAGCAAAGAGACCUCCAAAGACCAGGUAGACUUAGGUCAACCCUACGUCUAAAGUUUAGGACGGGGCCAGGUAAAUGACCUUGGAGGGCCGCAUCUGGCCCAUGGGCCUUAGUUUGGAGACCCCUGUCCCAGGCUCUCUCCUUCUGCAUCUCUUCUGCUACUUGAUGCAAUGCUGGAGGUUGCUUUGAUGUCCUCACACCUCUUCUUCAAGUCCACAAGGUUCAGCAUCUUCUUCAGUUUUUUGUGAUGGUCUCUGGGCUGAAAAUACCAGCAAUUAUUUCUUCUGUUGGACAACAUUCCUGUUUCACCCCAGCUAGAAUUCUCCUUGCCCUCAACACCAACCAGGAAACCAAAAGUCAUAGUAAAACAGUUUAUUGAUAAAUAGGAAAAGCAAAAUCCAAGAGGUAAUGGGGGGAAAUGGUCAAACAAGUAGUAAGUCAAACCAAUGUGGCAAUAGGAAAACACACCAAAGGUAAUAAUCCAAACAGUUCAAAGUGGUUCCAUAAAAGAAGGUAAAUAGGGUUGUUGUAUGUUUUCUGGGCUGUAUGACCAUGUUCCAGAAGUAUUCUCCCCUGUCGUUUCACCCACAUCUAUGGCAGGCAAUCUCUGAGGAUGCCUGCCAUAGAUGUGGGCGAAACGUCAGGAGAUAAUAUUUCUGGAACAUGGUCAUACAGCCCGGAAAACAUACAACAACCCUGUGAUCUCGGCCAUGAAAGCCUUCGAGAAGGUAAAUAAAUCUCAAAAUCCAACAUGAGCACAAAUCCAGAGAAACAAGAACCAAGACAUGAACAUGAAUCCAAAAGCCAGACUAUAAAACUUCUUAUACUAUGCAUCCAAACUCCCAAGAUCUUGGACUAAGGUAUGAAGGAAACAAGGCUUGAGAUCCUCAGUUAUGCCACGUUGUCUGAUCUGAAUUCCCAAAGAAACACGUCUCUGAUUUAAGAACCGCAAAACAUGAAGUCAUUUCUGUGGCCUUGACUUCCUUGCCUGUGAGACUUUUUAUGCUCUUCUUUCUCAUGAAGUCUUUUUGAUCAAGAUCAAGUCUGAAAUCCCUGUGUCCCUCUCGUGAGCUUUCUCGCCCAUCUAUUUUUUAUCUGGGUUGCUAUGCUACCAGUAGGUGAAAGGUCUCCACCAUGCACUGCAUCUCUCUGUCUGAUGCUGGACUCUGAAUCAGUUUCAUUUCCAAGCCUACUUUCACAGGCAUAAUCUUCCUCUAAAAACCUCUCAUUUCCCUCAUUGAAAGAACUAUCCACUACUCUCCCAGGCCUCUCAUUUUAAUCUGGCUCAACCACAACCACUCCAGCCCGACAAAUGCAUCCUUUAUGAGGUGGUACUUCAUGUCUACUUGCUUGAAUUCAAAGCUAAUAUUUUCUGUCUGAGACACCUUUAUAUUCCUUGGUUGUCUUCAUUCAUCUCUGUCGCCAUUGGCUCUUCCAUCCCAAAGUCCAGUAGUAACAUGUCCAGCUCUUUGCGUGCUUCAGAGGCUGAGAAAUGUUAGAAUUAUUAGAACAGACUGCGACAAUAUCCUACUUCUGUGUAACCCAAUUGAUUAAUCCCUUCUCAUAGAAGAGUAAGUGCCCACUUGUAGAUUCCCAGUUGUUGACAUCAGGAGUUCUCGACCUUUUUCAGCCACAGAGCCCUUUUUGAAGCAAAGGCUUCUUGUGGAACCCCCCAAAAAGUUUUUAUAUUAUAUUAUAUAUUAUAUAUGAUGUAUAAAUAAGAGGCAUAGGCAUCUGGCAGUGUUUUGGGAAUCAAAAGUGUUGACGGUGAGAAUGCAAACCAGCCUGGGUGUGGGGGAUUAGUUUCUAUGUAUAUAUUUGAUAUAUAUACAUUUGAAGCAUUUGAUUCAGUUUCUCAUUCCCUGCUCUAACUACUUGCUUUUAGUCCAUAAAUUCCAUUGCAUGUUUUAAAUUCUAAUUAUGUUGGAAAUAGCUACCUUGUAUAAGCCUCCUAUGCUAGUUGUUUGUUAUGUAUGUCAUUGAGAUUGUUUACUAUAAUGUAUGUAUGAGGGUUGAAUGAAAAGUAAUGCCUCCACCUUCGUAAUUCCUCAACAGAUGGCAGUCCUGGUCUGAGGCAGGUCCUGGCUUGUUCAGGAGACUCUCCUCUGCAGUUCCAUUUGGUGGGAAGCCUUAGCAUGGAACGGUUGUGUUGUUAAAGUGUGAAGUACGGAACCCUGCACAGACGGGGAAGCCUUAGCAUGGAACGGUUGUGUUGUUAAAGUGUGAAGUACGGAACCCUGUGCAGACGGGGAAGCCUUAGCAUUGAACGGUUGUGUUGUUAAAGUGUGAAGUACGGAACCCUGUGCAGACGGGGAAGCCUUAGCAUUGAACGGUUGUGUUGUUAAAGUGUGAAGUACGGAACCCUGUGCAGACGGGGAAGCCUUAGCAUGGAACGGUUGUGUUGUUAAAGUGUGAAGUACGGAACCCUGUGCAGACGGGGAAGCCUUAGCAUUGAAUGGUUGUGUUGUUAAAGUGUGAAGUACGGAACCCUGCACAGACGGGGAAGCCUUAGCAUGGAACGGUUGUGUUGUUAAAGUGUGAAGUACGGAACCCUGUGCAGACGGGAAAGCCUUAGCAUUGAACGGUUGUGUUGUUCAAGUGCGAAGUAUGGGACCCUGCGCAGACGGUCAGUCAAUGUGACUUAAUCAACGUGCAGUCAUUGAAUUCUUAGCAGCAGAAGGUGUCACCCCAAAGGAGAUUCAUCAGAGAAUCUAUCUGUUCCCAAUAAUAAAAGAAGAUCUGCGGGGACAUAAUUAUGCUUCUGGUGAAGACUUUGAGAGAACUGUGUGACGCAGGUUGCGGAAACAGAGUGUCGACUUCUUCCGUGACGGCUUCAGAAAACUUGUUCAUCGUUGGCAGAAAUGUAUCCAAUUGUCUGGUGAUGAUGUGGAAAAGUGAAUAGUGGUCGUUAAAGAGCUCAUUCUAAGGAUUAUCUCUGCAUUUGAUUUAUUAAAAGAUUCCCAUCCAAACCCAAGUAACGAAGAUGGAGGUAUUACUUUUCAUUCAAGCCUUGUCUAUACAGUGUUCCCUCACUACUUUGCGGUUCACUUUUCGCUCCCUCGCUAUUUUGCGGGUUUUCAAUUAACGUUAAUGCGCACGAUUAUCAUGGUAUUUUUGCUGUUUCACAGGGUUUUGGAAGGGUGGAAAGGGAGAAAUAAAGGAGGGGAGAGUAGGGAAUGGUUGGAAAUAUAAAGGCGUUAUUUAGCUUCCGUUCUUCUUCUCGGCUGGUGUACUGUAUAUUGUAACUGCUAAAAUAAAGUACAGACUACAUUGUA